GUAACUUUUUUAUUUUGAAAAAUUUCUCUAGAGUUAACAGGAUCUUUUACAUCGAUGUUGUCUUUAAUUUAAGUUCUUGAAGAGAUUUAAGAGUUUGAAAAAGACUGUUCUUCUAUUAUUAUUAACGUGAGAUUAGUUUAGUUCGACGUGAGUUAGAAUUGUUUAUCUAGCUUAAUUUUAUUUGGGAAAAUUUGUACGAGAGGAUCGUUUUAUAUAUUUAAUUUCUUU
rnacentral:rRNA from 1 species